UACGAAGGGGGCUAGCGUUGCUCGGAAUCACUGGGCGUAAAGGGUGCGUAGGCGGGUCUUUAAGUCAGAGGUGAAAUCCUGGAGCUCAACUCCAGAACUGCCUUUGAUACUGAAGAGCUUGAGUCCGGGAGAGGUGAGUGGAACUGCGAGUGUAGAGGUGAAAUUCGUAGAUAUUCGCAAGAACACCAGUGGCGAAGGCGGCUCACUGGCCCGGUACUGACGCUGAGGUGCGAAAGCGUGGGGAGCAAACAGG
rnacentral:rRNA from 1 species